rnacentral:lncRNA from 1 species
AAAAAAUUAGCUGGGCGUGGUGUUGCACAACUGUAAUCCCAGCUACUAGGGAGGCUGAGGCAGGAUAAUCACUUGAACCCGCGAGGUGGAGGUUGCACUGAUCCGAGAUCGUGCCUCUGCACACUCCAACCUGGGUGACACAGUGAGACUGUCUCAAAAAAAAAAAAAAAAAAGUAAGAUCCUACGAAGCUGGGGCUCUGUUCCAGGCCAGCCUCAGGCCUGGCCUCAUCCUAAUGAAGUCAUCCUGGCCUAGUCCCAAUCUUGGGACUCUGGUCCCGUGGAUUCCCGCAGGGAUCCGCAACCAGGCCGACAACUGCCCCAGGGUACCCAACUCAGACCAGAAGGACAGUGAUGGCGAUGGUAUAGGGGAUGCCUGUGACAACUGUCCCCAGAAGAGCAACCCGGAUCAGGUGAGGACAGGCCAGACUCCAGCUGGGUAAGCCCUCUGGGUGAGCUGCAAGUUGGAUUACCCAGCCCACAGCCCAGCUUAGAGCAUUUCACACUGUCAGAGAAAUGACCUCCCGGUCCGAGCAGCCUGGGGCGGGGAUUUCCUUGGGGUCAGGAGGACUUUGGCUAUGUGGCUGAGUUGGGUGGGAGGCUUUCUGAUUUCCUCUGUCUGAUUGUGGACCCCCGUAUGCUGCCCCCCCGCAGGGGGAUGUGGACCACGACUUUGUGGGAGAUGCUUGUGACAGCGAUCAAGACCAGUAAGGAGGCCACCACCCGGGGUGGGUGUCCGGGUAGCCCUUGACAAAACUCUCUGGAGAGCUCAUUGUCUCUGGAUCCCACCUAUCCACUCUAGGGACGGAGAUGGACAUCAGGACUCUCGGGACAACUGUCCCACGGUGCCUAACAGUGCCCAACAGGACUCAGACAACGACGGCCAGGGUGAUGCCUGCGACAACGACGACGACAAUGACGGAGUCCCUGACAGUCGGGACAACUGCCGCCUGGUGCCCAACCCUGGCCAGGAGGACGUGGACAGGGACGGCGUGGGCGACGUGUGCCAGGGCGACUUUGAUGCAGACAAGGUGGUAGACAAGAUCGAUGUGUGUCCGGAGAACGCUGAAGUCACCCUCACCGACUUCCGGGCCUUCCAGACAGUCGUGCUGGACCCGGAGGGUGACGCGCAGAUUGACCCCAACUGGGUGGUGCUCAACCAGGUGGGAGAGGGGGCCAAGUGGGAGGUGAUGGGACCCUAGAA